UGGGAAGAGCAUGUAGAUCGAUAUCAUGGAUUGUCGCUCCUGGUAGAAUCCCUCUAGAUGACUUCUUUCAGCUACCAAAAUCACCCAGCAUAGAUGCAAUCCGGCCACGUUCUCUGCUGACGCACUCUCUGACUGAGGUUGUCCUCAAGAACUCUGGAUCUUGCCUGGUGAUCCUAAAAUCGCCGCCCGACUCGUAGGCAGAGGCCCCAAAUCGAGCCUUAUGCCUGGCCACCUCCUCCUGCUGCCACCGAUCAUCUAGGCUUGCCUACAUGGCCGCUUGGAUCUCUGCCCUCUCCUAAUCUAGAUUCUUAAUCUCCUCUGGCUCUCUAGAGUGAUAGGAAAGUGGCGAUCCACCUUCGCUCUCUUCUUGAAAAUCCUCUUCUUCGCUUUUUUGACCUUAGCGAGAUUCUGUCUCAUCAGCACACGAAUCUCGUCUGGGCAAUUCGGGCAUGUAGCAACCUCACUGGAAUUUCCGGC
rnacentral:lncRNA from 1 species